GUACCUUGCGCCGACGCCGCCCUGAGGAGGACCGCCCCAGCUAGCGCUCCCUCUAGGUGGUGGCGCUGAGCGUCGACACCGUCGCCGCUGACGGUGCCGCACUACCCUUGGCCCCUGUUACAGCGCCUCUCUUCCUCGUGAACUCUCUUCCACGGUACCGGCCAACUCUCCUCUCUCCUCCCCCGCUCUUCUUGAUGGGAUCCGUCUCGCCUCAUAUUCUGUUGCAUUCUUGAUGUUCUAGG
rnacentral:lncRNA from 1 species